GACGAACGCUGGCGGCGCGCCUAACACAUGCAAGUCGAACGGUGACGAGAGCUUCGGCUCUCUGAUCAGUGGCGGACGGGUGAGUAACACGUGAGCAACCUGGCUCUAAGAGGGGGACAACAGUUGGAAACGACUGCUAAUACCGCAUAACGUAACGAGAAGGCAUCUUUUUGUUACCAAAGAUUUAUCGCUUAGAGAUGGGCUCGCGUCUGAUUAGAUAGUUGGCGGGGUAACGGCCCACCAAGUCGACGAUCAGUAGCCGGACUGAGAGGUUGAACGGCCACAUUGGGACUGAGACACGGCCCAGACUCCUACGGGAGGCAGCAGUGGGGGAUAUUGGACAAUGGGGGCAACCCUGAUCCAGCGACGCCGCGUGAGGGAAGAAGGUUUUCGGAUUGUAAACCUCUGUUGACGGAGAAAAAAGUGAAUGGUAUCCGUUUAGAAAGCCACGGCUAACUACGUG
rnacentral:rRNA from 1 species